AUGUCUGGUGGCUCCGUGGAUUAUAACAGCAGAGAACAUGGAGACCCAGAGAGAAUGGACCCUGAUGGUGUCAUCGAGAGCAACUGGAAGGAGGUUGUUGAUAACUUUGAUGAUACAAACUUUAAAAAGUCUCUUCUUUGGGGUAUCUAUGCUUAUGAUUUCAGAAGCCUUCCGCUAUUCAGCAGAGAACUAUUAUUCCCUGUAUUACAAAAGGUGAUUCUGGCACUUGGAGAUUAUAUGGGAGCAACCUGUCAUGCCUGCAUUGGUGGAACAAAUGUUCAAAAUGAAUGCAAAAACUGCAGGCUGAAGUACCACAUAUUGUUGGUACACCAGGGAGAAUGUGUGAUAUGUUAAACAGAAGAUACCUUUUUUCCAAAAUGGAUCAAAAUGUUUGUUUUGGAUGAAGCAGAUGAAAUGUUCAGCCAAGGGUUUAAGGAUCAAAUCUAUGAGAUUUUCCAAAAAUUAAAUACAAGUAUUUAGGUUGUGUUGCUUUCUGCCAUGAUGCCAACUGAUGUGUUGGAAGUGACCAAAAAAUUCACUAAAGAUCCUAUUCAAAUUCUGGUGAAAAAGGAAGACUUGAACCUUGAAGGAAUCGAACAGUUUUAUAUCAGUGUUGAGCAGGAGGAAUGGAAGUUGGAUAUACUUUGUGACUUGUACAAGGCACCAUUAAACAGGCUGUUAUUUUUCUCAAUACAAGGUGCAAGGUGGACUGGCUGACUGAGAAAAUACAUGCCAGGGACGUCACAGUUUUUGCUCUGCAUGGCGACAUGGACCAGAAGGAGAGAGAUACUAUCAUGAGGGAAUUCUGAUCAGGGUCAAGCCCUGUUCUGAUCACUAUUUACUUGUUGGCACGUGGGACUGAUGUCCAACAAGUGUCUUCGGUUAUAAACUAUGAUCUACCUAGCAGUCAUGAAAACUGUAUUCGCAGAAUUGGCAGAGGGGUCAAUUUGGUAGAAAAGGUGUGGCUAAAAACUUUGUUACUGAGGAAGGCAAGAGGAUUCUUCGUGACACUGAGAUUUGUAUGCAAUACUACAGUGAAGGAAAUGCCCAUAAAUGUAGCUGACCGUAUU
rnacentral:lncRNA from 1 species